UGCAGUGAGCAGGGAGGGGGCAGGCUGCCUUGUCUCCCAGGUGUUAGAGCUCUGACCCCUCCAGGAUGUGGGGGUUAGCCCUGGGUGGGUGAGUAGGAGGCCCCCAUGAACCCGAGCCUGUGGAAACCCUCGGGAAGCAAGUCCUUGCAGUGGUGCUGGAGGGGCCAAGGCUGGGCCAGCGCUGUGUCUCUCCACAGCUGGGGCUGCCCAAAGCAGAACUACUCCUUCAAUGACUCGUCCUCCGAGAUCAACUGGGCUCCCAUUCUGUGGGUGGAGAGAAAGAUGACACUGUGGGCGAUCCAGGUCAUCGUGGCCAUAAUAAGCUUCCUGGAGACGAUGCUUCUCAUCUACCUCAGCUACAAAGGCAACAUCUGGGAGCAGAUCUUCCGCGUGUCCUUCGUCCUGGAGAUGAUCAACACACUGCCCUUCAUCAUCACGGUGGGUGAGCCCCAGCUGCCAGGAGUGCGGGCCCUGGAGCCCCAGCCCUGACCUGUGCCCUUCACAGAUCUUCUGGCCGCCGCUGCGGAACCUGUUCAUCCCCGUCUUUCUGAACUGCUGGCUGGCCAAGCAUGCGCUGGAAAACAUGAUUAACGACUUCCACCGUGCCAUCCUGCGGACACAGUCGGCCAUGUUCAACCAGGUCCUCAUCCUCUUCUGCACCCUGCUGUGCCUCGUUUUCACGGGGACCUGCGGUAUCCAGCACCUGGAGCGGGCGGGCGAGAACCUGUCCCUCCUGACCUCCUUCUACUUCUGCAUCGUCACCUUCUCUACCGUGGGCUACGGCGACGUCACACCCAAGAUCUGGCCAUCGCAGCUGCUGGUGGUCAUCAUGAUCUGCGUGGCCCUCGUGGUGCUCCCGCUGCAGUUCGAGGAGCUCGUCUACCUCUGGAUGGAGCGGCAGAAGUCGGGGGGCAACUACAGCCGCCACCGUGCGCAGACGGAGAAGCAUGUGGUCCUGUGCGUCAGCUCCCUCAAGAUCGACCUUCUCAUGGACUUCCUGAACGAGUUCUACGCCCACCCCCGGCUCCAGGACUAUUACGUGGUCAUCCUGUGCCCCACGGAGAUGGAUGUCCAGGUGCGCAGAGUCCUGCAGAUCCCUCUGUGGUCCCAGCGGGUCAUCUACCUCCAGGGCUCUGCGCUCAAAGACCAGGACCUCAUGCGAGCUAAGAUGGACAAUGGGGAGGCCUGCUUCAUUCUCAGCAGCAGGAACGAGGUGGACCGCACAGCCGCAGAUCACCAGACCAUCCUGCGCGCCUGGGCCGUGAAGGACUUCGCCCCCAACUGCCCCCUCUACGUCCAGAUCCUCAAACCUGAAAACAAGUUUCACGUCAAGUUUGCCGACCAUGUGGUGUGUGAGGAGGAGUGCAAGUAUGCCAUGCUGGCACUGAACUGCAUCUGCCCGGCGACCUCCACCCUCAUCACCCUGCUGGUGCACACGUCCCGCGGCCAGGAGGGACAGGAGUCUCCGGAGCAGUGGCAGCGCAUGUACGGGCGCUGCUCGGGCAACGAGGUGUACCACAUCCGCAUGGGUGACAGCAAGUUCUUCCGCGAGUACGAGGGCAAGAGCUUCACCUACGCGGCCUUCCACGCCCACAAGAAGUACGGCGUGUGUCUCAUUGGGCUGAAGCGGGAGGACAACAAGAGCAUCCUGCUGAACCCGGGGCCCCGGCACAUCCUGGCCGCCUCCGACACCUGCUUCUACAUCAACAUCACCAAGGAGGAGAACUCGGCCUUCAUCUUCAAGCAGGAGGAGAAGCGGAAGAAGAGGGCGUUCUCGGGGCAGGGGCUGCACGAGGGUCCGGCCCGCCUGCCUGUGCACAGCAUCAUUGCCUCCAUGGGGACAGUGGCCAUGGACCUGCAGGGCACAGAGCACCGGCCCACACAGAGCGGCGGGGGGGGCGGGGGCAGCAAGCUGGCACUGCCCACGGAGAACGGCUCGGGCAGCCGGCGGCCCAGCAUCGCGCCCGUCCUGGAGCUGGCCGACAGCUCGGCCCUGCUGCCCUGCGACCUGCUGAGCGACCAAUCGGAGGAUGAGGUGACGCCGUCGGACGAUGAGGGACUCUCCGUGGUAGAGUACGUGAAGGGCUACCCUCCCAACUCGCCCUACAUCGGCAGCUCCCCAACCCUGUGCCACCUCCUGCCUGUGAAAGCCCCCUUCUGCUGCCUGCGGCUGGACAAGGGCUGCAAGCACAACAGCUAUGAAGACGCCAAGGCCUACGGGUUCAAGAACAAGCUGAUCAUCGUCUCGGCAGAGACGGCCGGCAACGGGCUGUACAACUUCAUCGUGCCGUUGCGGGCCUACUACAGAUCCCGCAAGGAGCUGAACCCCAUUGUGCUGCUGCUGGACAACAAGCCCGACCACCACUUCCUGGAAGCCAUCUGCUGCUUCCCCAUGGUCUACUACAUGGAGGGCUCCGUGGACAACCUGGACAGCCUGCUGCAGUGUGGCAUCAUCUACGCGGACAACCUGGUGGUGGUGGACAAGGAGAGCACCAUGAGCGCCGAGGAGGACUACAUGGCGGACGCCAAGACCAUCGUCAACGUGCAGACCAUGUUCCGGCUCUUCCCCAGCCUCAGCAUCACCACGGAGCUCACCCACCCUUCCAACAUGCGCUUCAUGCAGUUCCGCGCCAAGGACAGCUACUCUCUGGCUCUUUCCAAACUAGAAAAGAGGGAGCGAGAGAACGGCUCCAACCUGGCCUUCAUGUUCCGCCUGCCGUUUGCCGCCGGCCGCGUCUUCAGCAUCAGCAUGUUGGACACGCUGCUCUACCAGUCCUUCGUGAAGGACUAUAUGAUCACCAUCACCCGGCUGCUGCUGGGCCUGGACACCACGCCGGGCUCGGGGUACCUCUGUGCCAUGAAAAUCACCGAGGGCGACCUGUGGAUCCGCACGUACGGCCGCCUCUUCCAGAAGCUCUGCUCCUCCAGCGCUGAGAUCCCCAUCGGCAUCUACCGGACAGAGAGCCACGUCUUCUCCACCUCGGAGCCCCACGAUCUCAGAGCCCAGGUAAGCAACCCCUCCGUGCCCACGCAGCUUCUGCUGAGCACCAGAACAUCGCAGCUUCACGUGGAGAAGCCUGCCAGGCCCCACCCACCCACCCACGGGGCCCUGGGAAAGCCGAGGCAGGAGCGGGUCCCAUGGAUGUGUCGGCCCCAGCACAGCUCAGAGAAGGCUGUUGACAGUCACUCCCUCCUGCACUGGUGGUGGGGAAGCUGAGGCCUGGGGGCAGUAGCCUGUGAGUUUGGACACCAGGUGCACCCCUGCCCCCUCGCAGGCCCCACCAAGGCAGGCAGCCCCCAUGCCCAUCUGGCCUGACCAUCCAGCCCCCAGCUUCCCAGGCCUUUCUGAAGGUGCCACCCAGGUGGGGAGCCCUGCCUCUUCCCAGCACCCCACGACCCACAGGCUCUGACAGCCCACAUUCCCCUGGUUUGGGGCCUCUGAAGUGUGUGUUUGCAAGAGGGAUCAGGGCUCAUCUGCAGACGGAGAAAUUGACACGCAGAGGGGGUGACCCCUCAGGGCAAGGCCAGGAUAUGCUGGGGUCCAGAUGGGUCCCAGGCCAGACCCACACAAAUAAGGGCUCAGAGAGGUGAAGGGAGCUGCCCUCAGCAGCCUGGUGAAUCCCUGGACCAGGCCCAGGCAGGGUGGGUGGCCCAGCGAUCUGUGCUCAGGAGGAAACCUUGGACCAGGCACAUUCUUUCCGGAGGAGGAAGGCACAUGCACCUGGGGGUCUGUCCUCGUCCUCUUCCCUAACACCCCCAGCCGCUCCGACACAGGCCUCAAGCCGCAGAGCCCACACCUUUUCCUAAGCCCCUGCCCCAAAUCCCGUGCCCCUCCUGGCAGCCUCACCCCUCCCCGCCCUGCCCAGUCCCAGAUCUCGGUGAACAUGGAGGACUGUGAGGACACGCGAGAAGUGAAGGGGCCCUGGGGCUCCCGCGCUGGCACCGGAGGCAGCUCCCAGGGCCGCCACACGGGCGGCAGUGACCCCGCAGAGCACCCACUGCUGCGGCACAAGAGCCUGCAGUGGGCCCGGAGGCUGAGCCGCAAGGGGCCCAAGCAGGCGGGCCGGGC
rnacentral:sRNA from 1 species